rnacentral:rRNA from 1 species
UACGUAGGGGGCGAGCGUUGUCCGGAUUUACUGGGCGUAAAGGGCAUGCAGGCGGUCGGACGCGUUUUGUGUGACAGCGGGUGGCUCAACUACGCGAGCAUACGAAAGACGGUUUGACUUGAGGGCUCGAGAGGGACACGGAAUUCCGGGUGGAGUGGUGAAAUGCGUAGAGAUCCGGAGGAACACCGAAGGCGAAGGCAGUGUCCUGGCGAGUGACUGACGCUGAGGUGCGAAAGCCAGGGGAGCGAACGGG